rnacentral:rRNA from 1 species
CCUACGGGAGGCAGCAGUGGGGAAUAUUGGACAAUGGGGGAAACCCUGAUCCAGCAAUGCCGCGUGAGUGAUGAAGGCCUUAGGGUCGUAAAGCUCUUUUACCAGGGAUGAUAAUGACAGUACCUGGAGAAUAAGCUCCGGCUAACUCCGUGCCAGCAGCCGCGGUAAUACGGAGGGAGCUAGCGUUGUUCGGAAUUACUGGGCGUAAAGCGUGCGUAGGCGGUUAUUCAAGUCAGAGGUGAAAGCCCGGGGCUCAACCCCGGAACGGCCUUUGAAACUAGAUAACUAGAAUCUUGGAGAGGUCAGUGGAAUUCCGAGUGUAGAGGUGAAAUUCGUAGAUAUUCGGAAGAACACCAGUGGCGAAGGCGACUGACUGGACAAGUAUUGACGCUGAGGUACGAAAGCGUGGGGAGCAAACAGGAUUAGAUACCCUGGUAGUCCACGCCGUAAACGAUGAUAACUAGCUGUCCGGACACUUGGUGUUUGGGUGGCGCAGCUAACGCAUUAAGUUAUCCGCCUGGGGAGUACGGUCGCAAGNUUAAAACUCAAAAGAUAGUACGCGNGNGAGNGCGACGACGACGACGAGGAGGAG